GACGAACGCUGGCGGCGUGCUUAACACAUGCAAGUCGAACGGAAAGGCCCUGCUCGCAGGGUACUCGAGUGGCGAACGGGUGAGUAACACGUGGGUGAUCUGCCCUGCACUUCGGGAUAAGCCUGGGAAACUGGGUCUAAUACCGGAUAGGAGCCAUUUUUAGUGUGAUGGUUGGAAAGUUUUUUCGGUGUAGGAUGAGCUCGCGGCCUAUCAGCUUGUUGGUGGGGUAAUGGCCUACCAAGGCGGCGACGGGUAGCCGGCCUGAGAGGGUGGACGGCCACAUUGGGACUGAGAUACGGCCCAGACUCCUACGGGAGGCAGCAGUGGGGAAUAUUGCACAAUGGGCGCAAGCCUGAUGCAGCGACGCCGCGUGGGGGAUGACGGCCUUCGGGUUGUAAACUCCUUUCGCUAGGGACGAAGCUUUUUGUGACGGUACCUAGAUAAGAAGCACCGGCUAACUACGU
rnacentral:rRNA from 1 species